AUGAACUGUGUGCGAAACUAUUUCACUCCCCUGACCUUUUUGUGUAGCGCCCGCCACGCCGGCGCCACAUCCUACUGUGCAGCGCCUACCUCGGCGGCGUUGCACUCCUGUCCACCGUGGCAGCCCCUGGGCCCGCACCCAGCAGUGCAGCGCCUCCGGGCUAGGCGCCACACAUGUAAUGUGCAGCGCCUAGCGGCUAGGCGCUGCACUUUGACUUAUCCAGCCACUUGGCUGGGCCCCCCUCCCCCACCCCCCCCACACCACACACUCUCUCACUCUCUCCCCGAGCUUUGCCCCCUCUCCCACUCUCUCCCCCCUCUCAAAUCUUCUUCCAAAUCUUGCAAAUUUGAAGAAUUUGUCCGUGGAUUUCGAAGUCAAACCCUCCCUCAAGGUAUGGUGGCUUCUCAACCCAACAAACCAACGAUGAAGGAGGAUGGCGAAGAUGAGAUGGCGGGAUGGUGGGAGAAGGCUGCGAAGAAGCUUAGAGAGGAGGAUGCAGCCAAGCUAAAGAAGAAGAAGGAAGAGGAGCUUGAGAAGGAGAGGAAGCGAAAACAGACUGCGGCAAAUGCGAUGCGCGCUAGGGAGCAAGCGUUGAUGAGGAAAGUUGAGGAGGCACAGAAGAAGCGUCAACAGGAUUUUGAAGAAAGAACCAUGAAGCUUUGGGCAAUUGCAGCUGAAAAAGAAGAGAGGGACAAUCAGAUAUUCAUGGAGAGGGUGGUUAAGGAGGCUCACCUCAUAAGAAAAAGGGAGGAGGAAGAGGAAGAAGAGAGGAAGAAGAAGAAGGGAAAGGGGCCUUGCUCUACGCAAUAG
rnacentral:rRNA from 1 species